ACCUGGGUGGCUCAGUCAGUUAGAGCGUUUGCUUUCGGUGCAGGUCAUGAUUCCAGGGUUCUGGGAUCGAGCCCCACCUCAGGCU
rnacentral:tRNA from 1 species